rnacentral:rRNA from 1 species
AUUGAACGCUGGCGGCAGGCUUAACACAUGCAAGUCGAGCGAGCGGCGGACGGGUGAGUAAUGUCUGGGAAACUGCCUGAUGGAGGGGGAUAACCACUGGAAACGGUAGCUAAUACCGCAUACCAUCAGAUGUGCCCAGAUGGGAUUAGCUAGUAGGUGGGGUAAUGGCUCACCUAGGCGACGAUGCCUAGCUGGUCUGAGAGGAUGACCAGCCAAGCUGGAACGGUGAGACGGUCCAGACGCCUACGGGAGGAAGCGUUGGGGAAUAUUGCACAAUGGGCACAGGCCUGAUGCAGCCAUGCCGCGUGUGUGAGAAAGGCCUUCGGGUUGUAAAGCACUUUCAGCGAGGAGGCGUUACUCGCAGAAGAAGCACCGGCUAACUCCGUGCCAGCAGCCGCGGUAAUUC